rnacentral:rRNA from 1 species
GUUAAGCGACUAAGCGUACACGGUGGAUGCCCUGGCAGUCAGAGGCGAUGAAGGACGUGCUAAUCUGCGAUAAGCGUCGGUAAGGUGAUAUGAACCGUUAUAACCGGCGAUUUCCGAAUGGGGAAACCCAGUGUGAUUCGUCACACUAUCAUUAACUGAAUCCAUAGGUUAAUGAGGCGAACCGGGGGAACUGAAACAUCUAAGUACCCCGAGGAAAAGAAAUCAACCGAGAUUCCCCCAGUAGCGGCGAGCGAACGGGGAGCAGCCCAGAGCCUGAAUCAGUGUGUGUGUUAGUGGAAGCGUCUGGAAAGGCGCGCGAUACAGGGUGACAGCCCCGUACACAAAAAUGCACAUGCUGUGAGCUCGAUGAGUAGGGCGGGACACGUGGUAUCCUGUCUGAAUAUGGGGGGACCAUCCUCCAAGGCUAAAUACUCCUGACUGACCGAUAGUGAACCAGUACCGUGAGGGAAAGGCGAAAAGAACCCCGGCGAGGGGAGUGAAAAAGAACCUGAAACCGUGUACGUACAAGCAGUGGGAGCACGCUUAGGCGUGUGACUGCGUACCUUUUGUAUAAUGGGUCAGCGACUUAUAUUCUGUAGCAAGGUUAACCGAAUAGGGGAGCCGAAGGGAAACCGAGUCUUAACUGGGCGUUAAGUUGCAGGGUAUAGACCCGAAACCCGGUGAUCUAGCCAUGGGCAGGUUGAAGGUUGGGUAACACUAACUGGAGGACCGAACCGACUAAUGUUGAAAAAUUAGCGGAUGACUUGUGGCUGGGGGUGAAAGGCCAAUCAAACCGGGAGAUAGCUGGUUCUCCCCGAAAGCUAUUUAGGUAGCGCCUCGUGAAUUCAUCUCCGGGGGUAGAGCACUGUUUCGGCAAGGGGGUCAUCCCGACUUACCAACCCGAUGCAAACUACGAAUACCGGAGAAUGUUAUCACGGGAGACACACGGCGGGUGCUAACGUCCGUCGUGAAGAGGGAAACAACCCAGACCGCCAGCUAAGGUCCCAAAGUCAUGGUUAAGUGGGAAACGAUGUGGGAAGGCCCAGACAGCCAGGAUGUUGGCUUAGAAGCAGCCAUCAUUUAAAGAAAGCGUAAUAGCUCACUGGUCGAGUCGGCCUGCGCGGAAGAUGUAACGGGGCUAAACCAUGCACCGAAGCUGCGGCAGCGACGCUGAUGCGUUGUUGGGUAGGGGAGCGUUCUGUAAGCCUGCGAAGGUGUGCUGUGAGGCAUGCUGGAGGUAUCAGAAGUGCGAAUGCUGACAUAAGUAACGAUAAAGCGGGUGAAAAGCCCGCUCGCCGGAAGACCAAGGGUUCCUGUCCAACGUUAAUCGGGGCAGGGUGAGUCGACCCCUAAGGCGAGGCCGAAAGGCGUAGUCGAUGGGAAACAGGUUAAUAUUCCUGUACUUGGUGUUACUGCGAAGGGGGGACGGAGAAGGCUAUGUUGGCCGGGCGACGGUUGUCCCGGUUUAAGCGUGUAGGCUGGUUUUCCAGGCAAAUCCGGAAAAUCAAGGCUGAGGCGUGAUGACGAGGCACUACGGUGCUGAAGCAACAAAUGCCCUGCUUCCAGGAAAAGCCUCUAAGCAUCAGGUAACAUCAAAUCGUACCCCAAACCGACACAGGUGGUCAGGUAGAGAAUACCAAGGCGCUUGAGAGAACUCGGGUGAAGGAACUAGGCAAAAUGGUGCCGUAACUUCGGGAGAAGGCACGCUGAUAUGUAGGUGAAGCGACUUGCUCGUGGAGCUGAAAUCAGUCGAAGAUACCAGCUGGCUGCAACUGUUUAUUAAAAACACAGCACUGUGCAAACACGAAAGUGGACGUAUACGGUGUGACGCCUGCCCGGUGCCGGAAGGUUAAUUGAUGGGGUUAGCGCAAGCGAAGCUCUUGAUCGAAGCCCCGGUAAACGGCGGCCGUAACUAUAACGGUCCUAAGGUAGCGAAAUUCCUUGUCGGGUAAGUUCCGACCUGCACGAAUGGCGUAAUGAUGGCCAGGCUGUCUCCACCCGAGACUCAGUGAAAUUGAACUCGCUGUGAAGAUGCAGUGUACCCGCGGCAAGACGGAAAGACCCCGUGAACCUUUACUAUAGCUUGACACUGAACAUUGAGCCUUGAUGUGUAGGAUAGGUGGGAGGCUUUGAAGUGUGGACGCCAGUCUGCAUGGAGCCGACCUUGAAAUACCACCCUUUAAUGUUU